rnacentral:RNase_P_RNA from 1 species
CAGACGGUCGCGUGCCUGACGGCAUGAGGAAAGUCCGGGCUGCACAGGGCAAGGAUAACGGAUAACGUCCGCCGGGGGCGACCCCAGGAAUAGUGCAACAGAGAUAUACCGCCUUACCGGUGUCAUCACAUGCCGGCAAGGUAAGGGUGGAAAGGCGAGGUAAGAGCUCACCGCGCCCCGUGGUGACACGGGGGGCCUGUAAACUCUAUCCGCAGCAACGCCGACAGGGACCAUGGUUUGCCCGACCUUCCCAACUGGCGGCUUGAGGCGCGCGGCAACGCGCGUCCCAGAUAGAUGACCGUCCACGACAGAACCCGGCUUACGCACCAG